rnacentral:lncRNA from 1 species
CAUUUUUUUCCUUUCCUUUUUUUUCCCCUUUCUUGUUUUUUUUCUCCUAUUUUCCUUUUACUUUUUCUUUCUCCCUCCACAUUUUCUUUCUUCUUCUCCCUUCAACUUUCUCUACUCCGACGCGCCACAAGAUUAUUGUCUCACUACCUUCAAUCAGCAAUCAUCCGUCAAUCCCAGUAACCUAAAGAUCCAAGUUAGUGCCAGAGACAACUUAGAGGUAUCAUUAUUGGUUUUUAUUUGUUGGGUUGUUAUGGAUUUUGUUGGGAAAUAUUGUGAAAUGCAAAUUAGGUUAUUUGAUUGUUAUAAAUUCAUUUAUUAGGUUUCUAUCAAUUCAUUUAUUGGUUGCAGUGGAAUAUCUAAGAUCUACAAUAAAGUGAAGGUUCAAACUCCAUUGAAAAUGUUGUGGGUUCUGGUGGCUAAAUUGUUGAAUUUGUUCGUUUGGAUCUUGAGCGUUCUCUUACUUUGACGUUUCUUUACAUUUUAUAGGAAAAGUGGUUACAAAUAUGCUAUCUAGUUCGACUCUAGGAUAAUGAUAAAUUCCUAGGGCUAUCUUUUCUCAUUUCAUUUUCUUUUUGGGUUUAUCAAUUAUGAUUUUUGUAAUGAGGUAAUGAUUUGUAUUAUAUGUGAAGAUUUUAUUUUUACUGUAAUUUUCAGUACGAUGGAUGACAUUUCACUAGAAUGUUAAUGAUUUCAACAUUGAUUUGUUUGAUCGGGUUUGUGUUGUAAAUCUCUAGAUAUAUGAAGAAGCAAAGAAGUUCUCGUAUCAAUCUAGUGUAAAGGUUGUGGUUGCUUAUGGUGGGGCACCAAUUUUCCAGUAGGUUCGAAAUUUUUUACAUCUGAAACUAAAAUUGUUAUGUUGUUUUGACAUUGGCUAUUAAUUUAUCUUAACGUCUUUUGGCUAAAUUCUGAUCAAUGUAUUUGUUGAUUGUAAUGUUAGAAUGGUUUAAGUAGAUUGUUAGAUUGUAAGGUGAUGAAAUUAGAAAGCAGGGACAUGAUGGCUCCAUGGGCUUCUUGACGAGGUAGUUGCCAUGUUUUAGUGAAUUUUUAUAUUUCUUGUAAUGAUAUUUUGUCAUUCUAAGAUACUAUAAGUAACUUCUUCUUUUUUUAGUUUUUUUGACAAUUUCAGUUUUUUUGACAAUUUCAUUAUCUUUGGAAUGUAGUUUCCAUCCUUUCCUACUUGAUUGUCUUCUUGUUGACACGCCAAAAGUGCAGCCCAAAUCGAAUAGCCCAAAGAAUGAAGCCCAACUGGGCAAUUCAGGAUAAAGGCCCAAAUAGGAUUAUUAAUGAAUGCAGUGGAAGCCCACGAAUGCAGUAACACCAUCGCCCAAACUUGCAAGACGCCCAAGAUCUGAGCGAAUGAAGUGCCUUGCAGUCGCCUAGGGUUAUGACCCUGUUCUCGUCCAAACCUUCGAAUCGCCCAAAAUCUUAGCAAAUAUAAGAUGUUAUGAUUAUCCAAAAGUACAGUUAUCGAAGCAGUUAUUAAGUAAUCUUAUCACGUUCCACGAUUGAAGGAUGUUCAGUUGAAAACGGUUGAACGACAAAGAGUAGUGACAGCAGUUAGAGACGGCAGUUCCACGAUAAGUUCGCCAACAUGAAGAAAGUGGGUAGUUAUAAAGCAAUUAAGCGGUUUCUAAGUGGUUGAUCACGAAGAGAUCAUCAAAGGAAUAUAAAAGGAAGAAAAGACAUAGAGCGAAAGGUCCCCGAAUCAAACACUCUCAAACAGAGAAUAUAUAAUUUCAAUUUCUUAGUUUAGACUUAAACAUUUCUUUUUAGUACUCGUGUGCUUGCGCCACUUGGAGGCAUUCUGUUUAGUUCCAAUUGUAAAGUCAUCGCCAAUAAAACAUCCCUUUUUGGGACUUUGUCUCAAGAGGUUUGUUCCUUACAUAAUCGUCUGAUCCCUUUUUAAUUGUUAGCGACCACGCGCGCGAAACACUUCUAUAAUGGAAGUUUCUGUCUCCACUUUCUUGAGUCCUUAGGCAAUUGAGCACAUGUUUAAUUUGUAAGCCAAAGACACUUUUAUUACAUGCAGUUUUCGUCCUUUUUGUUGGUAAAAUUAGUUGAUCAUUACUUAAGGAGGAUAUGGUUUAAGGAAAUCUAUGAUUAUGUUGGUAAAAUUAGUUUAUCAUUAUAUUAUGUCUAUUCAUUAGUGAUGUUCAACUCAUGUCAAGAAGCAAGUUCGUCGUUCCUGUUUUUGUGAAGCUAC